ACUGGGCUUUGUCCUGAAAUUCCACUAUAAUUUGCAGAAUAGUGCCUUGGAUACAUCAUGUAGGGACCUAAAACCUAUGCCUCCCUCCUUAUAAGGCAUACAAAGGACAUUUGCGAUCAAAACCGCUCUGCCUCCUACAGAUAGGAGUUUGCCUUUCCAUGACUGCAAUUUGUCCAUAACCCUGGUGAUUAAUCCCUGGUAUAUUGCUGAUUUGGCUUUGUUCACCAGUUGACCAGAUGAUGAUUCAUAAGCUUGCAAAACCUCCAUGACAAGUCUCAAUGAAGUUUCAUCAGAUGAGCAGAAAAUGAUCAUAUCAUCAGCGUAUGAUAGAUGAUUUAUUUUUGGGCUCCAUUUUGGCAUUCCAAAUCCACAGAAAUACAGGAGUUGUAAUUGUGCUUGAAGACUGACUGGUUCCAGACUUGUUAAGUAGUUGAAGUAUUCAAUCAUAUUACUCUCUUGAGAUUGUGCAUCCUGUCAUCUGAUUCAAUUGGUUGAAAUUGAGUCCAUUCAUAGUCCUUUUAUCCUUAUAUCCUUGAUUUAUAUUCAUAUUAACACUUUGUAAAGAACUCUUUACAUCAUUACAACCAUUAUAUGUCUGUUGCACCAUAUUGUCAGUCAUGACAUUGUAGGCAACAUUGGUUCCUUCCCCCCCCUUUUUUUUGGUCUAUAAUUAGGUGGAUAGCCCACAAUCAUGUAGCAAUUUUCUUUGCUAUAUCCUUUGAGUUUACAAAAGUCACACUGAAUAUUGUAGUUUUUCUUGAAUCUUUGAUUUCCUGUGGA